AACAACCAAAGCCAAAAACCCUAGAGAUUUGAAUCUCAGGAUCAACAACUACUACAGAGAAAGGGGGGGAGGGGUUGAUUUGUGAACGGCUUUGGGGAAUCUAAACUUAUCUGCAUUAAUCAUCAUCGGCAACGGCAGUCUUGGAGGUUCCGGUUUUCUUCGGGAGGAGGAGGUUGUGGAUGUUGGGCAUCACACCACCAUUGGCGAUCGUCACAUCGCCGAGCAGCUUGCUCAGCUCUUCGUCGUUCCUUACGGCAAGUUGGAUGUGACGUGGCACGAUUCGGGUUUUCUUGUUGUCCCUGGCUGCAUUCCCGGCUAG
rnacentral:lncRNA from 1 species